rnacentral:sRNA from 1 species
AAUUAUUAUAAGUACAUUUUUUUCAGGAUCAAAACCACAUCACUUACAUAAGCUUUGAUCUACCAGGGAUGUUGGAUGACAGUUCUUGUCCACAAGUCUCAAAUUAAGAACAUCUUAUUUUACCUUGCAGUGAAAGUAAGUGAACACAGUCUCCUGCCCCUUAUGCUGGAGCAGUUUCCGUUUCUCUAUGUUUCUGGCCCAACAUUAAGCAAAAUGUGGAAACAGCAAAUUGCACAGGUUGAACAGCUUAAGAAAGAGGCAUGUAGAGAAAAUCGAUCAAAGAAGAAACUCCAAGAUGAAAUAGAAGAAGCCCUAAGAAGGCAUGACCUCCUUACUACCCUUGUCAAGAAAGAAUAUGAACAUAACAAGAGACUGCAAGACUUCAAGGACUGCAUUCGUAGGCAAAGGUUGACCCAAUCAAAGAUAAAAGAAAA